AGCUUUUGAACUUAAGAUACUACUGCAAGCAAUAAUAAAGUUGCAGAGAUGGUGGAGAUGUAAAUUGCUUCAUGAACAGAGAACAAAAGCAAUAGUUGUCAUCCAAUUACAUGUUCUAGGAUGAAUUGCCAGAUAAAGUGUUUUAAGAAACAAGGAACAAUUACUUCAAGCCCUCAUACUUUAUAUCAUUAAUCCAAAUGUCGGAAUGAGUAACAUGUUCACUAACAACUAUUUCAUCACUCUUAUCAUAUGUUACAUGUUCAACAGUAAUAGAAGAAAUCAAUUUAUCAUACAUUACAUGUUCACUAACAAUGAUUCCAUCACUCUUAUAGCCCUCAUACUUUAUAUCGUUAAUUCAAACGCCGGAAUGACGUAACAAUACGAAAAUAUUCAUCGCCAAUACUUCAAACAAAAUCAAUAAAAAUAAAAAAAUCAUACGAAUUAUUUCUAUGUGAAAACUGAUUAUGGAAGAGAAUUUAUUUAAAAAGUUGGAAUAACAAACAAAUUUCCUUUUUUUCUGGGAUUUUAUUGAGCUGUUACCAUAAUUAGUUAGGUUAAUUGCUAGCAUUAAUAUAGCAUUAAUUGAAUCAAAUUAAAUUUAAAAGAAAUUGAAUCAAACUGAACUAAUUUAAUUUUCGAUACCCCCUUUUCCAUAAUCAAAAAUCAAAAAAUUGAAUCGAAAUUUAAAAAAUCAAACUGAAAACUCAAAUGUCCACCCUUAGAUCUAAGUGUUUCUAGACAUUACAUUAUGGACAACACUCUGUCUACUUUGCCCCUCCUGUAACUUUAUAUCAUAUUGUGGUGAAAGAGUUCAACAUUAAAAUCUUCUUGAUUCACUAAUGAGGUAGGAGAAACACCUAAGAUAGAAGGAUUUUCUAAAGUUGCAGUAACAAUAAAGUUUGUCUGAUUCAAUACUUGAGUAGGAGAAACGCCCAAAUCAGAGAAAUUUUUUGAAGAAAUCGCAAAAAAAUCUAUUUGAUUCACCAUUGGGGUGGGAGAAAUACUCAAACCUAAAGGUCUUUCUGAUUGAGCAACACUAUGAGAUUUUUUAGCCAUAUUUUCUGAAGCAUCAACGACAACAAAAUUUGCAUGAUCCACUGGUGACAUCGAAUAAAUUCGAUCAAGUGGAGACUUCUUCGGCCUACCUCUUUUUUUAGGUUGAGCAACAUCUAAUCCAUCAACAGACUUCUUCGGCCUGCCUCUCUUCUUAGGUUAAGUAGCAGCUGAUCCAUCAAAGUCGAAUUUUAAAUUUUGUGCAGAAUCAAAACAACAAGAAAAUUGUUGAAUAUUUGGUUGUUUAGGUUGGUGAAAAAUGACUUUUACGCGUACCAUAUCAAUGUCGGGUUGUUCUAAUUUUUCAGGUUGGGGUGAUGGUUGUUGGUAGUGGUGAUAGUGGGGAUGGGGUGUUGGGGUUGAGGUUGGGGUUAUUAUUAAUUUCUCAUGAUCUCUUGAGGGUGGUUGUUGUUGUAUAAAUUAGAGUAGAUGGGUAGAGGUUGAGGGUGAUAUUGUCAUUGUUUCAUGGCUAUGUAGUGGUGAGGGAGGUGUGGAUGGUGAUUUUAGAGCAUCCAUAGUACACAAAAACUUUGUUGAGA
rnacentral:lncRNA from 1 species